rnacentral:rRNA from 1 species
UGGGGAAUUUUGGACAAUGGGCGAAAGCCUGAUCCAGCCAUGCCGCGUGCGGGAAGAAGGCCUUCGGGUUGUAAACCGCUUUAGUCCGGGAAAAAGGGCUGACGUGCUAAUACCGCGUUGGUUUGAUGGUACUGGAAGAAUAAGCACCGGCUAACUACGUGCCAGCAGCCGCGGUAAUACGUAGGGUGCGAGCGUUAAUCGGAAUUACUGGGCGUAAAGCGUGCGCAGGCGGUCUUGUAAGACAGUCGUGAAAGCCCCGGGCUUAACCUGGGACCUGCAUUUGUGACUGUAUUGCUAGAGUACGGUAGAGGGGGAUGUAAUUCCGCGUGUAGCAGUGGAAUGCGUAGAGAUCUGGAGGAAUACCGGUGGCGAAGGCGGCCCCCUGGACAAAGACUGACGCUCAGGUGCGAAAGCGUGGGGAGCAAACA